rnacentral:rRNA from 1 species
AUACGGAGGGUGCAAGCGUUAUUCUGAAUCACUGGGCGUAAAGGACGCGUAGGCGGGUUGGCAAGUCAGAUGUGAAAUCCUACAGCUUAACUGUAGAACUGCAUUUGAAACUGCUAACCUAGAGUAUGGGAGGGGGAGAUGGAAUUAGUGGUGUAGGGGUAAAAUCCGUAGAUAUCACUAGGAAUACCGAAAGCGAAGGCGAUCUCCUGGAACAUAACUGACGCUAAGGCGUGAAAGCGUGGGGAGCAAACAGGAUUAGAUACCCUAGUAGUCC